CCAAAGCGCACCUUAGGGGAGUAGCCGCCCUCCAUUUUUAGGAGGGGCGCAUGUCAACAUAAUUGGCGGGCAUAUCCGCCAUGGCAUGUGCGCAACGCAGAAGCAUUGCCUUUUGCGGGUUGGCGAGACCGACGGCUUUACCGCUCGUGCAGGGCCGGGCGGGUGUAAAGCCGCGUCUCGUUCU
rnacentral:sRNA from 1 species